rnacentral:rRNA from 1 species
CCUUCUGCGAUCAGUAGUACUGCGAGUGAGCGGGAAAAGCUCAAAUUUAAAAUCUGGCAGUCUUUGGCUGUCCGAGUUGUAAUCUGGAGAAGCGUCUUCCGCGCUGGACCGUGUACAAGUCUCCUGGAACGGAGCGUCAUAGAGGGUGAGAAUCCCGUCUUUGACACGGACUACCAGUGCUCUGUGAUGCGCUCUCAAAGAGUCGAGUUGUUUGGGAAUGCAGCUCAAAAUGGGUGGUAAACUCCAUCUAAAGCUAAAUAUUGGCGAGAGACCGAUAGCGAACAAGUACCGUGAGGGAAAGAUGAAAAGCACUUUGGAAAGAGAGUUAAACAGUACGUGAAAUUGCUGAAAGGGAAACGCUUGAAGUCAGUCGCGUUUGCUAGGACUCAGCCUGGUUUCGGCCUGGUGCACUUCCUAGUAAACGGGCCAGCAUCACUUUUGGCUGCGGGAAAAAGGUUAGAGGAAUGUGGCACCCUCGGGUGUGUUAUAGCCUCUAGCUGUAUACCGUGGCUGGGAGUGAGGAACUCAGCACGCCUCUGGCGGGGCUUCGGCCACCUUCGUGCUUAGGAUGCUGGCGUAAUGGCUUUAAACGACCCGUCUUGAAAAACCGGGACCAAA